CCUACGGGUCGCAGCAGUGGGGAAUAUUGCACAAUGGGCGCAAGCUUAAUGCAGCCAUGCCGCGUGUAUGAAGAAGGCCUUCGGGUUGUAAAGUACUUUCAGCGGGGAGGAAGGUGUUGAGGUUAAUAACCUCAGCAAUUGAUGUUACCCGCAGAAGUAGCACCGGCUAACUCCGUGCCAGCAGCCGCGGUAAUAGGGAGGGUGCAAGCGUUAAUCGGAAUUACUGGGCGUAAAGCGCACGCAGGCGGUCUGUCAAGUCGGAUGUGAAAUCCCCGGGCUCAACCUGGGAACUGCAUUCGAAACUGGCAGGCUAGAGUCUUGUAGAGGGGGGUAGAAUUCCAGGUGUAGCGGUGAAAUGCGUAGAGAUCUGGAGGAAUACCGGUGGCGAAGGCGGCCCCCUGGACAAAGACUGACGCUCAGGUGCGAAAGCGUGGGGAGCAAACAGGAUUAGAUACCCGGGUAGUC
rnacentral:rRNA from 1 species